rnacentral:lncRNA from 1 species
CCAGGAUCCUAUGCGACAACGCGGACAACAUCACCCGGGUGCAGAGCGACGUGUUCAGGGUGGCGGAGUUCCCUCACGGCUACGGCAGCUGUGACGAGAUCCCCAGGGUAGACCUCCGGGUGUGGCAGGACUGCUGUGAAGACUGUAGGACCAGGGGGCAGUUCAAUGCCUUUUCCUAUCAUUUCCGAGGCAGACGGUCUCUUGAGUUCAGCUACCAGGAGGACAAGCCGACCAAGAAAACAAGACCACGGAAAAUACCCAGUGUUGGGAGACAGGGGGAACAUCUCAGCAACAGCACCUCAGCCUUCAGCACACGCUCAGAUGCAUCUGGGACAAAUGACUUCAGAGAGUUUGUUCUGGAAAUGCAGAAGACCAUCACAGACCUCAGAACACAGGUGAGGUGCCUGGCGGCCUGUGUCCCCCCACUCCAAGAUUCCACAGCAGCACAGCCCUGCCCGAACCUUCUGGGUAUAGCAUUUUAUUCCCAGGCAACUGUUCAACUGCCCACACAGGACCCAGACCCUGGAGCCUUGGGGGUGUCAUUUCUGCACGCUGGGUCAGGCCGGGCCAUGUGCCACUGGUGUCCCUGGGUUUCCCAGCAGAUGGGGGUCACCAGGCAGGGGCAAUCUGUGUCACGGCCGUGUGACUGCCAGCCAGGUGACCUUGCUGGAGGGAACACAGGAUUAGGAUGCUGUAGGAGAGUUCAGACAUGAAGUCCUGUUCUUAAGCCUCUUAUUCAGGAAUAACUCUGAAUCAUCUCUCCCAGGGCGUGGUAAGGAGGCACUUCCAGGUCAGCCCUCCACAACUGAUCCAGCCUCUCCGGGUGUGAGGAAAGUCCUGGUGUCUGUGGUACGACCACAGGGAUUUUCAGACGGGGCUCUUCUCUGGCGCUCUGUGGAAAUGAGUUCUGUCCUCUCCUUCCUAUCCCAGGAACUUACUUCUGCUUUCUUCAGUGCCUGUGGUGGGGGUUAUCUCUGGGAUUUUACGUAAGGGGGUGGAGAUUGAGACCUAUGGCUAAAUAGAAGGAAGUGCGCUCACUCCGCUGGUGUGGAUGGGAUUCCCAAGGUGCGCAGGUCCUGGCUGUCUGCAGCACAUUUAAUCUGUAAGCACAGCUCCUUUCCUACUCACAGGACUCUUAGCCCUUAGGUUUGGGAGAAACUUCCAUCAUCUCCUAGUGUAGCCCCAAGGUAACCCCCAGCCACAGGGAGAGGUACCCUGACUACUCCUGUGCCUGCCCCCUCAUCCCGUGCAGCUGCAGGUCCUCCUGCCUCUGCAGCCUUGAGACCAGGUGCAAGUCCCCAGGCAGCUGUCAGAGUGGACGACAUGUGGCAGGUCCUCCUGCCUCCGCAACCUAGAGACCAGGUGCAAGUCCCCAGGCAGCUGUCAGAGUGGACAGCAUGCCGCAGGUCUUCC